rnacentral:lncRNA from 1 species
UGCUAUUAUUAUAUAAUUCAGACACUACGGGUAUAUAUUGCCCUGCAAAAUAAGUUGCUUCCUUGUCUAUUCUAAGCAUUUUAUGAAUAAACAAAAGUAAAACUAGUGUCCAUACGUCAAAAAGGGGCUUAGUUUUCUUCUUCCGGCCCUCCUUAGUUAGCAAGUCUGCAACUCCAUUAAGCUUCCUUCCUUCAUGGAGAAUCAUUGAGUUCCCC